CAAAAUAAUUGGCAAGGGAGACACUAUGUUCACUAAGGUGGUUUUCCCAUAGCAAAGCUUUUCCAUUGCACUCUGGGUAUGCUGACCCCUGCAAUUUGUCCAAAUAUGGGAGGCUUGACUGACUGCAUAAUUUGUGAUAUGGAGAACUGAGUUUAUGUUCUCCUCCAA